UGGGGAAUAUUGCACAAUGGGGGAAACCCUGAUGCAGCGACGCCGCGUGAGCGAAGAAGGUUUUCGAAUCGUAAAGCUCUGUCCUAUGAGAAGAUAAUGACGGUAUCAUAGGAGGAAGCCCCGGCUAAAUACGUGCCAGCAGCCGCGGCAAUACGUAUGGGGCGAGCGUUGUCCGGAAUUAUUGGGCGUAAAGGGUACGUAGGCGGUCUAUUAAGUCAGGUGUGAAAGCGUGAGGCUUAACCUCAUUAAGCACUUGAAACUGAUAGACUUGAGUGAAGGAGAGGAAAGUGGAAUUCCUAGUGUAGCGGUGAAAUGCGUAGAUAUUAGGAGGAAUACCGGUGGCGAAGGCGACUUUCUGGACUUUUACUGACGCUCAGGUACGAAAGCGUGGGGAGCAAACAGG
rnacentral:rRNA from 1 species